UCUGCGGUGGGUACGGGCAGACUAGAGUGAUGUAGGGGAGACUGGAAUUCCUGGUGUAGCGGUGAAAUGCGCAGAUAUCAGGAGGAACACCGAUGGCGAAGGCAGGUCUCUGGGCAUUAACUGACGCUGAGGAGCGAAAGCAUGGGGAGCGAACAGGAUUAGAUACCCUGGUAGUCCAUGCCGUAAACGUUGGGCACUAGGUGUGGGGGACAUUCCACGUUUUCCGCGCCGUAGCUAACGCAUUAAGUGCCCCGCCUGGGGAGUACGGCCGCAAGGCUAAAACUCAAAGGAAUUGACGGGGGCCCGCACAAGCGGCGGAGCAUGCGGAUUAAUUCGAUGCAACGCGAAGAACCUUACCAAGGCUUGACAUGAACCGGAAAGAUCUGGAAACAGGUCCCCCACUUGUGGUCGGUUUACAGGUGGUGCAUGGUUGUCGUCAGCUCGUGUCGUGAGAUGUUGGGUUAAGUCCCGCAACGAGCGCAACCCUCGUUCUAUGUUGCCAGCACGUGAUGGUGGGGACUCAUAGGAGACUGCCGGGGUCAACUCGGAGGAAGGUGGGGACGACGUCAAAUCAUCAUGCCCCUUAUGUCUUGGGCUUCACGCAUGCUACAAUGGCCGGUACAAAGGGUUGCGAUACUGUGAGGUGGAGCUAAUCCCAAAAAGCCGGUCUCAGUUCGGAUUGGGGUCUGCAACUCGACCCCAUGAAGUCGGAGUCGCUAGUAAUCGCAGAUCAGCAACGCUGCGGUGAAUACGUUCCCGGGCCUUGUACACACCGCCCGUCAAGUCACGAAAGUUGGUAACACCCGAAGCCGG
rnacentral:rRNA from 1 species